GUUUACGACCUCGAUGUUGGAUCAGGGUAUCCCAGUGGUGCAGCCGCUACUAAAGGUUCGUUUGUUCAACGAUUAAAACCCUACGUGAUCUGAGUUCAGACCGGAGUAAUCCAGGUCAGUUUCUAUCUAUAAAAAGCUUUUUCUAGUACGAAAGGACCGAAAAAGCGUGGCCAAUGUCUAAUACACGCCACAUUUGAAAAUUUGUGAUUUAAACUCAACAAAUAUUCAUUUUUAUCUCGUAACUCUAGACAAGAGU
rnacentral:rRNA from 1 species